rnacentral:rRNA from 1 species
UCCUACGGGAGGCAGCAGUGGGGAAUAUUGCGCAAUGGGGGAAACCCUGACGCAGCAACGCCGCGUGAAGGAUGAAGGUCUUCGGAUUGUAAACUUCUUUGAUGAGGGACGAACAAAUGACGGUACCUCAAAAACAAGCCACGGCUAACUACGUGCCAGCAGCCGCGGUAAUACGUAGGUGGCGAGCGUUGUCCGGAAUUACUGGGUGUAAAGGGCGUGUAGGCGGGGAUGUAAGUCAGAUGUGAAAUUCCACGGCUCAACUGUGGGGCUGCAUCUGAAACUAUGUCUCUUGAGUGCUGGAGAGGAAAGCGGAAUUCCUAGUGUAGCGGUGAAAUGCGUAGAUAUUAGGAGGAACACCAGUGGCGAAGGCGGCUUUCUGGACAGUAACUGACGCUGAGGCGCGAAAGCGUGGGGAGCAAACAGGAUUAGAUACCCCGGUAGG